rnacentral:rRNA from 1 species
UGCGGAGGGAUCAUUACACAAUAUGAAAGCGGGUUGGGACCUCACCUCGGUGAGGGCUCCAGCUUGUCUGAAUUAUUCACCCAUGUCUUUUGCGCACUUCUUGUUUCCUGGGCGGGUUCGCCCGCCACCAGGACCAAACCAUAAACCUUUUUGUAAUUGCAAUCAGCGUCAGUAAACAAUGUAAUUAUUACAACUUUCAACAACGGAUCUCUUGGUUCUGGCAUCGAUGAAGAACGCAGCGAAAUGCGAUACGUAGUGUGAAUUGCAGAAUUCAGUGAAUCAUCGAAUCUUUGAACGCACAUUGCGCCCUUUGGUAUUCCAAAGGGCAUGCCUGUUCGAGCGUCAUUUGUACCCUCAAGCUUUGCUUGGUGUUGGGCGUCUUUGUCUCUCACGAGACUCGCCUUAAAAUGAUUGGCAGCCGACCUACUGGUUUCGGAGCGCAGCACAAUUCUUGCACUUUGAAUCAGCCUUGGUUGAGCAUCCAUCAAGACCACAUUUUUUUCAACUUUUGACCUCGGAUCAGGUAGGGAUACCCGCUGAACUUAAGCA